rnacentral:rRNA from 1 species
UACGUAGGGUGCGAGCGUUGUCCGGAAUCAUUGGGCGUAAAGAGCGCGUAGGCGGUCAGACAAGUCCGGUGUGAAAGUCACAGGCUCAACCUGUGAAUGCCGCUGGAAACUGUCUGGCUAGAGUCCGGAAGGGGCGAGUGGAAUUCCUGGUGUAGCGGUGAAAUGCGCAGAUAUCAGGAGGAACACCAAUGGCGAAGGCAGCUCGCUGGAACGGUACUGACGCUGAGGCACGAAGGUCAGGGGAGCAAACGGG